GCCAAUAUUUUGAAGGGAUCUAAUUUAGAAAGUGGAAGAGUUCAGUGACUAGGAGCCCUAAAGCCACAAAACACUGACAUUACCUCAAACAACAGUACGAUGUGUUGGACAACAAAGACGGAAGUCACGUCUCUCUAAAGUGCCAUAGCCAGACAAUGCCAAACACACAAGCCAAGGAUUACAGAAGGCCUGACACGAUCUUCUUUGGCUUUGGUGUGUUACACCCCCAACCUGCAACCAUGUGCAAUAAUUAAAUGCUCUGGCAGCACCAUCCAGUGUGAGCAGACAGACACCACGUCAAGCCCUGCGUAACACCACCUGUGAGGGAACUACUACUCCACGUGAUGCCCCUCAUUACGCCAUCUGUGACGGAGUUACUCCACUACGUGUCUACUGUUCAACACGUCAGCUCACAUGACCUACGUGACCUCCGAUAUAAACAUUAAUCUGUAUGUGAAAUGAGCAUCAGUAGCAAGUGUUGGCCCAAAUACAAGUUCAGGCCCUGUGGCUGAGAAAUGAUGCGCAGCAAGAUGUGCAGUAUACUUCUUCGAGGUUGGCUGCUUGAGUUAUCUGCUCUUGCACAACAACAAAUGGUGGCAGUGCCAAGGUUAACAUUCAGAUUUCCCUGUGGUUGAUAAUGACUUGUGUGGAUGUCAGGUUCUGAGUGCCAUACACAUGUGCUUGCAUAAUUUGCAUAUAUUAUGCAUUUUGUCAGAUAUUAUAAUAGCUCUAAAGUUUAGUGCUCAUUGUGUAAGUGCUGUCAGAUUACUACCAGUUGCCAUUUAAACUUAAUAAAUUAUAGUUAAUGAAAUGGUUAACAGUUUCCAAAGACAGUACAGUGUAGUUUUAUUUGAUUAUUAAUAACCCACUUCUUUGAGAGUGUCUAUACCGUAAUUAUAUCAAUGUUAUACAGUAUACCUGUACAGUAUACAGGUAUAUAUAAAUGCUGUAUAUUUUGUGGUAAUUAAUGGGGUUAUGUUCCUCUUUUAUAUAUAUCAUUUGAAUACAACAUUAGACUGAAAUUUUAAAGCUAUUUAUAUGAAGUGUUAAAUGAUACUAAUAACACCGAAGAAGAGACACAAGUCAAUAUAAAUACUCUGUACGGUAGAGAGUGCAGCAAGGUUUUCUGAUUAUUAAUUAUGAAAGCAUUAAUCAUUGAGAGAAAUUAGCUUGUCAGAUAGCACCGAUAAUAUUUGAAUCUCUGCAGUGCAAUGAAUUCUGUGAAAUAUUAUUCUCAUAUAAAUGUUUUAUUUCA